UUUCUAGAAUUCAUCCUGGCUGCCCUUGGGCAGAGAGGCCCGGACGCCGCAAGCAAGUAAGGAAGUGAGCACACUCUAGACAGAUGCUAGAGGCUUGAGCUAGUCGGUGGCCAUGGUUCGGGAGAGAAGAGGAAAAGUUUCGAAUGUGUAUUUGUGGAUUGAUUUUUGUUGUUGCUGUUGAGACAGGGUCUUGCACUAUCACCCAGGCUGAAGUGCAAUGGUGUGAUCACGGUUCACUGCAGACUUGAACUCCUGGGUUCAAGCAAUCCUCCUGCCUCAGCCUCCUGAGUAGCUGGGACCACAGGUGUGCACCACCACACUCAACUAAUUUUGUUUUAUUUUUUGUAUAGACAGAGGCUUGCUAUGUUGCCCAGGCUGGUCCUGAACUCCUGGCCUCAAGACAUCUCCCCACCUUGGCCUCCCAAAGCGCUGGGAUUACAGGGUAAGCCACCACGCCUGGCCUGGAUUGAUUUUCAUAAAUGCCUCUUGUGCUGGCCAGCUGAGGCAUUGCUACCUCCAUCUUCCCACCCCACACUCCUGCGUGCUGUGCCUCGUAUGAUUCUUCACCCCUUCUUAAAAGGAAUGCAAGCUCCAGGGCUACUUAUUGCAGGAUUUUCCUUCUUGAAUGGGGAAGCUUCUUUCUAGCCUUCAGUUUUCCCAGAAGGUCUUUCCAGGGAAGGCCAGUGCCCGGGAACCAAGCCUGAUGUCCCCAGGUCAGAACACCCUCACUCUUUCCUGAAUGGCUAACCACUCUAUGUCCACAGAGUUGUGAAUAUGAAUGAAAACAGACGAUUACACAACAUUUGACAGAUAUUGAUGAAGCACAUAUGCACCUGCAAAGUACCCAGCACUUCAUGGCCAGAGUAAAGAGAGCUGGCCAGGUUCUCCCCAGACCCAGGUUCAAGCCCUGGUAUUGAUGCUAAUUAACACUGCACAUUUGAGCAAAAUAUCUGAACUUCUCCAUCCUCGGUGUCUUUAUAAACCAAAUGCAGACAGUAGUACAUAAUUUACAAGAUUCUCAUAAUAAUGAGAAAACAGAUAUCAUGGUACCUAUUGGAAAUAAUAAUAGCUGCUUAGGCAGCAGUUGCAAUGGGCCAGGCCCUAAUUGAAAUGCUUUGUGAAUUUGCUCAUUUCACACUUACAGAAAGCCUAGGGGGUAUUAUUGCUGUUUUACAGACCAGGCACCACACUAAGAGAUGAAGUUACUUGCCCAAGGUCAUCCGGCUAGGAAGUGGUAAAGCUGAGAUUUGAAUUGGGUCUUUGUGGCUGGUGCCUUUGUUCUGAAGCACCGCAUGGUGGUCACUGCCUCUGAAUCAAGGAACUCACUCAGUGCCCAGGAAAUGUUUAUUGAAUCUGAGCCUGGGAGUUUGUAGCAGGUUGUGGUGCAAAUGGAUAUGGCAGCUACAAAGAUGUCAAAGAAAAUGCAACUAUCGUCAUUCAUGGAAUUGUAUCUCCCCUUGAAGGAUACACAUAUUCUAUUUUGCUAAUCACCAUCAAAGAAACUGAAACAACUGAAUGCUUGACUCUGAUAUCUCAGCAUCCUUUACAGCAAUAGUGCAAGGGGGUGAGGGAGGGAGGCAGUGAAGUCCCAUGAAAAAAACCAAUUUCCAUAGAGUAUUCAAUUUGCCAAAACGAUGGCUCAGAGAAAGCUAAAUAAGUUGAUUACUGUAUCUGGUAUGGACUUAUGGAGUGUUUCUUGAUUUUGGAAUGCCUUGCCUAGAUUUGAAAAUGAGCUCGGAGAUUCUAGCCCCAGAAGGAAAAUAGGUAGGGACCUUCCUUCCCAUUAGCUCAGUGGCCAAAGUCACUGGCCCUGGGAGGCCACUGUUCUGCUCAGCACAGGCAUAGCCAGUGAACCCUCCUGAAUUCAGCAUUCCAGGCCAUUACUACCAAUCCAUCACAAUUGGCAUGCAAAUUGAAAUAAAUUUUCCCGCCCAGAGUGAGACCAACUCGCCCACUUCAUAGUGUAGAAAGCCCUUUUUACCUCCACUCUAUAAAUUCUUAAAAUACCGCUGCUGCCAAUAAUCUGGGAGUGUCUUUCUGGGUCAGCUGUGGCUUUGGGCAGCAGCAUCCUACCUUGCUGGUUGUCACUGAUUGUAGCCACUUCCCACAAUCAUCAUGUAAAAGCAAAAACACAAAUGGAAAGAAAUAAGGAAAUGGAGCCCAAACUUUGUCUUGGGGAAGAAAAGCUGGGGUUGGGGGCAUUGAGCACUUCUCCUUGGCCAUCUCCUCAUAGCUUUGCCCCGACAUGAGUACAAAUUCUGAUGAGAAUUUAAAACAGAAUAUGACUGGUGCUGUAUCAAUGUCUUUUCAAAUUUCAGGUCAGAAUUUUAAAAAUCUAAAAACAAGACAUUAAAUAAUGGAAAAGAAAGCCCUUGAUUUUCCCAUUUUCUUUUGCAUUGGAUUGCAGGUUGAAGCCAAUGAGAAGGAGGACAGAGUGAGUGCAGAAAGCGGGAGAAAGUUCAGGCAAGAAAGGAGAAUGCAUAGAGGUGUCUGCUCCAAGCAAAGCCUUCUCUGCACUCCCUCAUUGAAUAGACAAAACAUAAAAAAGACAGCAAAGAAAGAAAGACAGAGGGCUGGGCGCUGUGGCUCAUGGUUGUAAUCCCAGCACUUUGGGAGGCCGAGGUGGGCAGAUCACCUGAGAUCAGGAGUUCGAGACCAGCCUGACCAACAUGGUGAGACCCCCGUCUCUACUAAUAAUAAAAAAUUAGCUGGACAAGGUGGCAAGUGCCUGUAAUUCCAGCUACUAGGGAGGCUGAGGCGGGAGAAUCACUCGAACCCAUGAAGUGGAGGCUGCAGUGAGCUGAGAUUGCGCCAUUGCACUCCACCAGCCUGGGCGAUGGAGCAAGACUCCGUCUCAAAAAAAAAAAAAAAAAAAAAAGAAAGAAAAGAAAAGAAAAAAAGAAAGUAAGAGAUAGCUCAAGAAGAAUUUUUGCCAAAAGUAAAUAAAUAAAUAAUAAAAUAAAAUAAAAUAAAUACAAUAAUCUCCUUGGUAGAAACGGGGUGUCUGGGACCCACUGCAUUGUUGAAGAGCAGAAGCCUCUCCACGCUCAGCUUGUUGCGUUUAUUCUUGGGUGAGUUAAACAAGGAGGUGGGAAAGCAGAGCCUGCUUUAUGUUGCAGCUCUCUUUUCCCCUCAUUGAAGUGGGAGCUUGAGCGAUUUGGUGGCUGGAUCUGGGAACCUGUCUGCCAAACUCCACCUGCUGAAGGGACUUGCUCCAGCUGUUUCCAAGAGCGCCUCUUCUGCAAAGGUUUAUCAGAGAAAAGAGAGCUAAUAAAAAAACAUGAUGAAUCAGGAAGCAGAGGCGAGCCGAGGAGCUCACUCUAAGGAGCCUCCCGCCCUUCCUUCUCGGGUGCCAGCCCACCCUAGCUCUGCCCGGGCACCCACCUGGUGUGAGCCUAAGGAGGGUCUAGAAACAGCAGGCUGGGCUCAGAAGCCACCCACUUGAGUCCUUAAUGCUGACCUGAGCCUCUGUGGUUUCUCUGAGUAAGUGAGUGCUGGGCAGUCAGAGGAGAUUUACUGACACUAUAGGAGACCCUGCUUUAGCAGUGCAGGGACUUUGGAUGCUGACAUUCACCUCACCCAGGGUGAGGAUGAUGGGUGAUGUGACCUUGGAGUUACACCCUCAGUUGUUCUCAGUCCCAUGAUGGGAAUGUCUCACUACAUUGCAUUACAUUUUACAAAAUAAAAGACAUAUUUUUAAAAAUACAACGAGGAUCAUAAAGGC
rnacentral:lncRNA from 1 species